GUGGCCACAUCCCUCACCCCACAGCCUGGCGCCCUUUCUCAUGAACGCCGGCGCUCCUUGGUCCGGCCAACGCUCCCCUUCGUCACCACCGCCGGUACUCCCUGGUCAGGUGGAGGCUCCCCUUCGCAGUCGCUGCUCUUCCUCCCCUUCAUGUCGAAUCGGUCGCCGAAGUGGCCGGGGAGGCCCUCGAGGUCGGCAUGCUCGCGCCAAUGCUAGGCGCCGGUGGAGGCAGAGGCGGAGGCGUGGCACUCGCAUGCGCCUUCUCUACCCCGCUCCUUCUCCGAAUCCGGUGGCCGAAGUGCUCGAGGAGGCGCUCAAGCUCGGCAUGCUCGCCGGCAACGGGCUUCUCGCUCCUCCAGAUGCCCUCGCCGUCGCCGCCAUGAGCCUCUCCAUCGUCUCUUGCGCGGUCGUCUGGGCCCAAGCAAGUCUCUCUCUCCAACCCCGCCGCCUGCUCCACCCCUGUCAAUUCGGUUCGUCGCCAGGUGCAUCGCCUCAUUGAGAAAUCACCAUGAAUGUUCCCAAGACCAUGUCUAAUUUAUUCUGUUAUAGGGCUUUGUUAGAAAAGCUGAUUUAACUAAGUAUUAUUCUGCUCUAGAUUGCAGCACUGGUUGACAUGAUACAAUAUCUUUUCAAAAGAUGAUACAUUAUCUUCAUGAAAGAAAGGAAGUUGGAGAAGUUAUUAUUUAAGAGGAAUUCAGUGUCAUGUGGUUCUCAAGAGCUAAAAUGGAACAACAAGUGCAAGCCUGUCAUGCCUACACUAACUAAUCAGAUUUCCCGAGGGAGAAGAAGGAGGUGCCGAAAGGGUAUGGGAGUAACAAGUCUGAAUCGAAGAGUAUAUAUGUUUUGAUUUUGAGUUGCAUUGCCCAGUAUUUUUAUUGUUCUAAGAAAUCCAUGGAGAUGUCUAUGGAACAUUUCCUUGAUGUGAUAGGCAUAUUUGUUUACCACAUUCAGUUGUUGGCCCUGCUGUUGACGUCCAUGGUGGCGCUGAUGAUGAUCUUGGCAAGGGUAAUGCUUUGAUUUCAUAGACCUGUUGCUUUGAUAGCUAGAGAAUUAAUUUCUCAAGGACUUUGUGAUUUAGUGCUCUUAUGGUAUUUCAUAAAUCUGGCAAUAUAAAAUUAAUAUCUAAUUCUGGUUAUGUAA